rnacentral:rRNA from 1 species
CCUACGGGAGGCAGCAGUGAGGAAUAUUGGUCAAUGGACGAGAGUCUGAACCAGCCAAGUAGCGUGAAGGAUGACUGCCCUAUGGGUUGUAAACUUCUUUUGUAUGGGAAUAAAAUGUUCCACGUGUGGGAUUUUGUAUGUACCAUAUGAAUAAGGAUCGGCUAACUCCGUGCCAGCAGCCGCGGUAAUACGGAGGAUCCGAGCGUUAUCCGGAUUUAUUGGGUUUAAAGGGAGCGUAGGUGGAUUGUUAAGUCAAUUGUGAAAGUUUGCGGCUCAACCGUAAAAUUGCAGUUGAAACUGGCAGUCUUGAGGACAGUAGAGGUGGGCGGAAUUCGUGGUGUAGCGGUGAAAUGCUUAGAUAUCACGAAGAACUCCGAUUGCGAAGGCAGUUCACUGGACUGCAACUGACACUGAGGCUCGAAAGUGUGGGUAUCAAACAGGAUUAGAUACCCGGGUAGUC